CUGCUGUCCUGCUGAGGUUGCUCAAGAACACCCUGAGUCUUCACAGACUCAGGACUGAUGAAUGAGGACAGAACAAUACCGGCCUGGCAAGAAGACCCCAGACUACCCCAGAACAGAGACGGCGGCCCUUCUCCUGAUGGCUCCUGGGUUGUGCCACUGAGGGAGAGAGGGUGAAGACACACAGAGCAAUCAGGGAAGGAGGAGACACUGAGGCCCCCUGCCAGGACGAGUUAACAGGAGCAGGCAUUACCUUUCUUCCCAGGAUUUGGUUAAUGGCUGCACUUUCCUUCAGGGAGUCUGAAGCUGGCGGAUUUCUGAGUUCAAGGCCAGCCUGGUCUACAGAGUCAGUUCCAAGACAGCCAAGGCUACACAGAGAAACCCUGUCUCGAAAAACCAAAAAAAAAAAAAAAAAAAAAUCAAGGAACCCCACCCCCACCACGCCUGCUCACUAACCACUAACCUAUAGGUGACUGGCUAGCUUAUGGUCAGAAGUGGCAGUCACUAAUAUCCUUGGACUGUGACAUCAUGCUGGCAGCCCCGGCCCGAGGACUCACCUGGACAUUGAAGCGUUCAUGGCGAGGGCAGGCUGUCCCCAGGAGCUCGAUGAUCACAGCAAAGGCUGAGGCCACCGGUCAGGAAUGCACAGCCUCAAGUGGACAACCUCAGGACAAGACGUAGGAGCCACACGGGCUUGCUCAGCAAGGAAUGUCCCAUCCGAAACAGCCAGAUCCUCCAGCAAGCUACGUAGGUUGAGCACCUUCUCAGGAUUGCUCAGGUUUUCAUGCACACCGGAAGAGGGCAUCAGAUUCCAUUCCUGAUGGUUCUGAGUCACCAUGCGGCUGCUGUGAAUUCAACUCAGGAGGAACAGCCAGCACUCUUAACCACAGAGCCAUCUCUCCAGUCCCCUGUGUUUCUUAACCUGAUCAGAAAUAAGCUGCAGGAGAUUUAUGGCUCAGGAGAGUAGACCCUUCCCUUCUGCCGUCACUCACGAUGGACAAUGGCUGCCCAGGAAAUCACCCAACAUUUCAGUAGACAACUAACACUAUUCAGAAC
rnacentral:lncRNA from 1 species